AAUUGCAAGAGAAAGCAGCUGCAAAAGCCUCUCUACGAGCUCAAAAGGAAGCAGAAAAGAAACUGAAGGACCGCGAAAAGAAAGCAAAGAAGAAGGCAACGGCAUCUGGAUCUGCCGCAGUUCCUGAUGAAGAACCUACUGAUGCUGAAGCUGAUGCAGUUGAGGAGGAAUCUACAGAGGUUGAAAAGGUUAAUGAAAGCACUGAAGCUCCGGUUCCAGUUAGGACUAAAACCCCGAAGGAGACUGGCGUUAGAAGCCGUGGCAGGCAAAGAGGGCUGGAUUCCGUUCCGAAAGUGAUUCGGAAGCGCAAGAAGUCAAUCAAUUAUUUGGAAUGGGCUGGCCCUGCUGCUGCUGUUGCUGCAAUGUUACUUGUGAUCCUUCUGGUACUUGGGUACUACUACCUUAUCUAAAAACUGUGAAACUAGGAGUUAGAAGAGGUUUAUGGAUGGGACAAAUUUUCUGUUGACGAGCAUGCUGAUGAUGAGUGGCUUUAGAGUAUCAGAUGUAUUUUUAAUUAUGUUUAUUUCUGUUUAUUUCAUCCUUACUAGGGAUGGACUCAACUCAUAAUGGUUGGCAUUUUAGUCAGG
rnacentral:misc_RNA from 1 species